UGAAUACGAGACGCUAAGGCGUCGAAGUAGUGUAUGUCAUACUUCCAAGAAAAGCUUGCACUGUCAUAGAUAAAAAACGCCUGUACCAUAACCGACACAGGUGGGUAGGUAGAGUAUACUAAGGGGCGCGAGAUAACUCUCUCUAAGGAACUCGGCAAAAUAACUCCGUAACUUCGGGAGAAGGAGUGCCUUAUUCGUAAGGUUGCAAUAACAAGAUCCAAGCAACUGUUUAUCAAAAACACAGGUCUCCGCUAAGUCGUAAGACGAUGUAUGGGGGCUGACGCCUGCCCAGUGCCAGAAGGUUAAAGAAGUUGGUUAGCAAUUGCGAAGCUGAUAACUGAAGCCCUGGUGAACGGCGGCCGUAACCAUAACGGUCCUAAGGUAGCGAAAUUCCUUGUCGGGUAAGUUCCGACCCGCACGAAAGGCGUAAUGAUUUGGAUACUGUCUCGGAGAGGGGCUCGGUGAAAUAGACUUGUCUGUGAAGAUGCGGACUACCUGCACCAGGACAGAAAGACCCUAUGAAGCUUUACUGUAACUUGAAAUUGAAAUUGGACUUUAUUCGCGCAGUAUAGGUGGGAGGCGUUGAUUAUAAUCUUGUGGGAUUAUUGGAGCCAUCAGUGAGAUACCACUCUUGUAAUGUUAGAUUUCUAACUUUGAAUCAUUAUCUGGUCAAAGAACAGUUUCAGGCGGGCAGUUUGACUGGGGCGGUCGCCUCCUAAACGGUAACGGAGGCGUACAAAGGUUUCCUCUGAACGGUUAGAAAUCGUAUCUAGAGUGUAAAGGCAUAAGGAAGCUUGACUGUGAGACCUACAAGUCGAGCAGGGACGAAAGUCGGUCUUAGUGAUCUGACGGUACUGAGUGGAAAGGCCGUCACUCAACGGAUAAAAGUUACUCUAAGGAUAACAGGCUGAUCUCCCCCAAGAGUUCACAUCGACGGGGAGGUUUGGCACCUCGAUGUCGGCUCAUCGCAUCCUGGGGCGGUAGUACGUCCCAAGGGUUGGGCUGUUCGCCCAUGAAAGCGGUACGCGAGCUGGGUUCAGAACGUCGUGAGACAGUUCGGUCCAUAUCCGGUGUAGGCGUUAGAAUAUUGAGAGGAGCCUUCUUUAGUACGAGAGGACCGAGAAGGACAUACCUCUGGUGUACCAGUUAUCGUGCCAACGGUAAACGCUGGGUAGCUAUGUAUGGAGUGGAUAACCGCUGAAAGCAUCUAAGUGGGAAGCCCACCUCAAGAUAAGUAUUCUCAU
rnacentral:rRNA from 1 species